GAUGAACGCUGACGGAAUGCUUAACACAUCAGCCACGGAUUGGUGGCGGACGGGUGAGUAACGCGUAAAGAACUUGCCUCACAGGAAGGGACAACAUAUGGAAACGAACGCUAAUACAUAAUACUGUGAGAGAGCUUUGCGUCACAUUAGCUAGUUGGAGAGGUAACGGCUCACACAGGCGAGGAUGGGUAGCCGGCCUGGGAGUGAGAUCGGCCACAAGGGGACUGGGACACGGCCCUUACGGCAUCGUGCGGCAGCGGCGGGGAAUAUUGGACGAUGGACCGAAGUCUGAUCCAGGUAUUCGGUGUGUACGAUGAUGUUUUCGGAAUGAAAAGUGCUUUCAGUUGGGAAGCGGUACCAACAGAAGAAGUGACGGCUAAAUACGUGCCAGCAGCCGCGGUAAUUC
rnacentral:rRNA from 1 species